AACGCACAUUGCGCUCCUUGGUGUUCCGAGGAGCAUGCCUGUUUGAGUGUCAGUAUAAUUCUCAACUCCUCUUUGAUUUUAUUUGAGAGGGAGCUUGGAUCAUGGGGGCUGUCGGAGACUUUGGACCUUUGUGGUCCAGGACUUGGGCUCUCCUGAAAUGCAUUGGCUUGUGAUUGACUUUUUGACUUUGUGCGACAAGGCCUUCGGCGUGAUGAUGAUCGCUGUUUGCUGAAGUGCAGGAAUAAAGGGUCUCGUGCCUCUAAUAUUGUUGACCUCUCCUCACACUUGAGAAGUCCUCCUUCUUUGUGAUUGACCUCAAAUCAGGUAGGACUACCCGCUGAACUUAA
rnacentral:misc_RNA from 1 species